rnacentral:rRNA from 1 species
UGCAGUCGAACGAUGAUGCCCAGCUUGCUGGGUGGAUUAGUGGCGAACGGGUGAGUAACACGUGAGUAACCUGCCCCUGACUCUGGGAUAAGCGUUGGAAACGACGUCUAAUACUGGAUAUGAUCACUGGCCGCAUGGUCUGGUGGUGGAAAGAUUUUUUGGUUGGGGAUGGACUCGCGGCCUAUCAGCUUGUUGGUGAGGUAAUGGCUCACCAAGGCGACGACGGGUAGCCGGCCUGAGAGGGUGACCGGCCACACUGGGACUGAGACACGGCCCAGACUCCUACGGGAGGCAGCAGUGGGGAAUAUUGCACAAUGGGCGAAAGCCUGAUGCAGCAACGCCGCGUGAGGGAUGACGGCCUUCGGGUUGUAAACCUCUUUUAGUAGGGAAGAAGCGAAAGUGACGGUACCUGCAGAAAAAGCACCGGCUAACUACGUGCCAGCAGCCGCGGUAAUACGUAGGGUGCAAGCGUUGUCCGGAAUUAUUGGGCGUAAAGAGCUCGUAGGCGGUUUGUCGCGUCUGCUGUGAAAUCCCGAGGCUCAACCUCGGGCUUGCAGUGGGUACGGGCAGACUAGAGUGCGGUAGGGGAGAUUGGAAUUCCUGGUGUAGCGGUGGAAUGCGCAGAUAUCAGGAGGAACACCGAUGGCGAAGGCAGAUCUCUGGGCCGUAACUGACGCUGAGGAGCGAAAGCAUGGGGAGCGAACAGGAUUAGAUACCCUGGUAGUCCAUGCCGUAAACGUUGGGCGCUAGAUGUAGGGACCUUUCCACGGUUUCUGUGUCGUAGCUAACGCAUUAAGCGCCCCGCCUGGGGAGUACGGCCGCAAGGCUAAAACUCAAAGGAAUUGACGGGGGCCCGCACAAGCGGCGGAGCAUGCGGAUUAAUUCGAUGCAACGCGAAGAACCUUACCAAGGCUUGACAUACACCGGAAACGGCCAGAGAUGGUCGCCCCCUUGUGGUCGGUGUACAGGUGGUGCAUGGUUGUCGUCAGCUCGUGUCGUGAGAUGUUGGGUUAAGUCCCGCAACGAGCGCAACCCUCGUUCUAUGUUGCCAGCGGGUUAUGCCGGGGACUCAUAGGAGACUGCCGGGGUCAACUCGGAGGAAGGUGGGGAUGACGUCAAAUCAUCAUGCCCCUUAUGUCUUGGGCUUCACGCAUGCUACAAUGGCCGGUACAAAGGGCUGCGAUACCGUAAGGUGGAGCGAAUCCCAAAAAGCCGGUCUCAGUUCGGAUUGAGGUCUGCAACUCGACCUCAUGAAGUCGGAGUCGCUAGUAAUCGCAGAUCAGCAACGCUGCGGUGAAUACGUUCCCGGGCCUUGUACACACCGCCCGUCAAGUCAUGAAAGUCGGUAACACCCGAAGCCGGU